GACGUAGGGGGCCAGCGUUGUUCGGAAUUACUGGGUGUAAAGGGUUCGUAGGCGGUGUAGCAAGUCGGGAGUGAAAUCUCUGGGCUUAACCCAGAGGCUGCUUCCGAAACUGCUGUGCUUGAGUGUGGGAGAGGCGCGUGGAAUUGCAGGUGUAGCGGUGAAAUGCGUAGAUAUCUGCAGGAACACCCGUGGCGAAGGCGGCUAUCUGGCCCGUAAUUGACGCUGAGGCGCGAAAGCGUGGGGAGCAAACAGG
rnacentral:rRNA from 1 species